AACGAACGCUGGCGGCGUGCCUAAUACAUGCAAGUCGAACGCAGGGGGGACGGGAGAGUAACACGUGGGUAACCUCCCAUCAGAGGGGAGAACACUUGGAAACAGGUGCUAAACCGAUAUUGAUGGAUGGACCCGCGGUGCAUUAGCUAGUUGGUGAGGUAACGGCUCACCUAUGCGACGAUCUCUAGCUGUUCUGCUAGGAUGAUCCGCCACACUGGGGCUGGGACACGGCCCAGACUCCUACGGUAGGCAGCAGUAGGGAAUCUUCGGCAAUGGACGAAAUUCUGACCGAGCCACGCCGCGUGAGUGAAGAAGGUUUUCGGAUCGUAAAUCUCUGUUGUUAGAGAAGCUGUAUCUAACCAGGAAGCCACGGCUAACUCCGUGCCAGCAGCCGCGGUAAUAC
rnacentral:rRNA from 1 species